rnacentral:rRNA from 1 species
CGUGAGGGAAAGAUGAAAAGAAACUUGAAAAGAGAGUUAAACAGUACGUGAAAUUGUUGAAAGGGAAACGAUUGAAGUCAGUCGGCCGGCGCGAAAUCAGCUUGACCGGUAGUAGGUUAAAGCAACAGGCUGUGGCGAGUUUCAAACCGCCACAACCUGUGCUCCCCUGCCGGCCUCGUGCACUUUCGUGUCGGCUGGUUAAAUCAAUUUCGAUCGUCAUAAAAAGGCUGGAGGGAUGUGGCUCCUUCGGGAGUGUUAUAACUUUGGCGGAAUGUGGUGGUCGGGAUUGAGGAUUGCAACGAAUACCCUUUGGGCUAUCCUCUGACCUCUGAAAGUUGCUUAGGUGCCGAAAGCGUGCUUACGGUUAUUUAAGUUGACGUCAACAGGUUAGAACGUGAUUAUAUUCGUUAAGGACGUUGGCGUAAUGGCUUUAAACGA